CAGUUACUCCCUCGUCCGAAAAUACUUGUCAUCAAAAUGGAUAAAAAGAGAUGUAUCUAGAACUAAAAUACGUCUAGAUACAUCCCCUUUUAUCCAUUUUGAUGACAAGUAUUUCCGGACAGAGGGAGUACCAC
rfam:Triticum aestivum genome assembly, contig: Triticum_aestivum_CS42_TGACv1_scaffold_641821_T_2AL-0.157158_7AS-0.082694